GCAUCGGUAGUUCAGUGGUAGAAUGCCUGCCUGCCACGCGGAAGGCCCGGGUUUGAUUCCUGGCCGAUGCA
rnacentral:tRNA from 1 species